rnacentral:rRNA from 1 species
GCCAGCAGCCAUAUCACCCUGCAACUCACAACUGGCGGCCCACAGAAGAUAAGCAGGUGUGAGCCUGGUCAGUACCUGGAUGGGAGACCUCCUGGGAGGUGCUGGAAGAGGUGUUAGUG